AUUGAACGCUGGCGGCAGGCUUAACACAUGCAAGUCGAGCGAGUGGCGGACGGGUGAGUAAUGUAUGGGAACGUGCCUGAUGGAGGGGGAUAACUACUGGAAACGGUAGCUAAUACCGCAUACCAUCAGAUGUGCCCAUAUGGGAUUAGCUAGUUGGUGGGGUAAAGGCUCACCUAGGCGACGAUCCCUAGCUGGUCUGAGAGGAUGACCAGCCACACUGGGACUGAGACACGGCCCAGACUCCUACGGGAGGCAGCAGUGGGGAAUAUUGGACAAUGGGCGCAAGCCUGAUCCAGCCAUCCCGCGUGUAUGAAGAAGGCCUUCGGGUUGUAAAGCACUUUUGGCAGGGAAGCGUUAUCUGCAGAAUAAGCACCGGCUAACUACGUGCCAGCAGCCGCGGUAAUAC
rnacentral:rRNA from 1 species